UUCGCUUUCAGCUCCUUUCUCUUCCAUCCCAUUUCCCAUCGCUUGCUGCCUAUCAGUCGUUUGUUGCCUUCAUCUCCCAGAAGGAGGGGACGAAAGCAAGCAGUCACUGCUUCAUAAAAUGUAACGAUUUAAAGACGAGGGAUCAGCGGGGUGUCCAGCAGAUUGAGCCUCGCCCCCCAUCGAGAGACAGAGCAGCCUUUAAAAUUGAGCCCCCGCUGACAAGGGGCCCCUCUUGGCUCGUCUGAACUCCGCGCCUGAAAUGACCGCGCGCCUGGAGACCUUUUAAAGCGCUUCUUUGGCGCCCCAGAGAGAGGCUGCUGGCACGCAGGGCGAAAGCUCCCCACGGCAGCCCCUAUAUUUUCAGAUAUAUAUAAAAGAAGGGGGGUGGAUAACCCGCAUUACAACCUCUUCAAGGGUCAAGGACAGACUAGACAUGAAUAGCUUAAAAAGUUGUAUUGUUAAAUCACACAGCGUGCAAUUACACCCUCUGUCAUCUUGGCUCGGGAUUUGCUUUCAUUGAACAUCGAGUUGUUCUCAAUGAGGCGGGCAUUAGCGCUGUUGAGGAAGUGCACAGACUUUAAGGACACAUUCGCCGCCGUCGCCCCGCCCACGAUCCUCAGAAAAAAAACUUUGGAGAUCAGUGAUCCAAUUCAUAGAUUAGUCAGAUUGUGCGAACAAAAAAGGUUCUAUUAAUAAAAAUUCGUGAGGCGAAAAUCUAAAUGCCAUCGACAAUUUAUAAGCAAGACCAUACCAUGUUAAUUUUAGGAAGUGCAUUGUAACGCAAACCCAGACAUUUAGCAUUAACUGUUUAAAUUGCGCCGAAACAUAUACCUAUAUGUAUAUGUUUCAGAUGAAUAUAUUGCAUAUCCUAUUCAUUCUUUCGCAAUGACGGCUGUCUUUUUGUUCUUCUGAUUGUGUUUAGACCUCAUAUUUUUGAGGUCGUUGCAACCACAAGACGUGCCUCGGAAGGCCGCCUAAACGCUCCGGCACUGUACUAUGACGAGCACAGAGAGUUCAUGUGAUAUUUAUGUUGCCUACAGCAGAAUCUCUCUGUUCUGUUUAGCUGAACUCUUGCCAGCUCCACCAGGUCCCCCCUCUGCAGACAAUGUUACAUCUCAUUGGUUUUGCCCUAGAUAAGCUAUUUUUAAAGGAAAUAAUUAGACAUAACUGAUUUAAAUACUGCAAAGCUGACACUCUUUUUGUCCCGUAUUAACGGUAUAACGGUAUGUACAUGCUUGAUGUGCACAAAAUAUGUAUAUUUAGGAUUUUUGGUGUGGCCUCGGGUGUCAUUCUGAAUACAUGUGAGAAAUGAAUAAAUGAAUAUAAUUUUUGUGUGUUUCAUAUAUGAGAAAA